rnacentral:rRNA from 1 species
UACGGAGGGGGGCUAGCGUUGUUCGGAAUUACUGGGCGUAAAGCGCACGUAGGCGGCUUUGCAAGUCAGAGGUGAAAGCCCGGGGCUCAACCCCGGAAUUGCCUUUGAGACUGCAUCGCUAGAAUUGUGGAGAGGUAAGUGGAAUUCCGAGUGUAGAGGUGAAAUUCGUAGAUAUUCGGAAGAACACCAGUGGCGAAGGCGACUUACUGGACACAUAUUGACGCUGAGGUGCGAAAGCGUGGGGAGCAACAGG